rnacentral:lncRNA from 1 species
CAUAGGUGAAGAAGAUGUGGAAAAUAGACCAUACAUGGAAAUCUGUGAAUCCUAUGCUGGCAUCUGCAUAAAGGAUCAUUUUCUGGGAGAGCAAAGCAGCUCAGCUUGGGAAGCUCUGGAAACUCUGCCGCUUGUACCACAAUCACCAGGAGAACUUUAAGCCUUAAAAUCAUCUGAUUCUACCAGCAGUUACACAGCAAAUCAAGAUAAAAGUUGCUUCACAGAAGCCUGUUACAUCAUUUCCAUGAUCUGCUCUCGCUUUCCACUGCAAUGGCUGCAUGGGAAAUGCAUCUGCUUUUACAACUGAGCUUUAAAGAGGUUUCUAUCUAUGUCUACUAUUUCCAGUCCAGUGUUUGGGGUUUUUAAAAAAAAAAAAAAAAGAAACAAACCAGGGUACAAGUUAGACAUGGACUGCAAAGGACGGGGACUGUUUCUUGAGCACAAGUCCUCUUUUGCUACAAGGAACCUGUAAAGAGCAACAGCAAUUAAGGAGGGAGGAAAGAAGCUGAAACAGUAAUUCCAAAUGGUUUUCUCCUCAGGACUUCUGGAUCCCACCACUGACUUUCCAGCAGCCAGGCCAAGGCAGGUGAAUCCCUCUGUGCCCUGGUUUAUCCAUCUAUAACAUUAACAUGGUCAGCUUUACCUGCUCCACCACUCUGUCACGUGGGGCACCCAAGAAAUAUCUGUGAAUUGCUGUAAGAUUCUGAGACCAAGGGAAGGCUGGAAGUGCCAAGUGUUGUUGUUGUUAUUGUAUUAACAAUGUUGGCUGUUUUCACUGUUCAUAUGGUAGCCUGGCUGGAAUUGGGCAGGAAGCCCAAUAAUACCAACAACCAACAAG